rnacentral:rRNA from 1 species
AGAACUUAGUAGAGAUGCUUUGGUGCCUUCGGGAACUCUGAGACAGGUGCUGCAUGGCUGUCGUCAGCUCGUGUUGUGAAAUGUUGGGUUAAGUCCCGCAACGAGCGCAACCCUUAUCCUUUGUUGCCAGCGGUUAGGCCGGGAACUCAAAGGAGACUGCCAGUGAUAAACUGGAGGAAGGUGGGGAUGACGUCAAGUCAUCAUGGCCCUUACGAGUAGGGCUACACACGUGCUACAAUGGCGCAUACAAAGAGAAGCGACCUCGCGAGAGCAAGCGGACCUCAUAAAGUGCGUCGUAGUCCGGAUUGGAGUCUGCAACUCGACUCCAUGAAGUCGGAAUCGCUAGUAAUCGUGGAUCAGAAUGCCACGGUGAAUACGUUCCCGGGCCUUGUACACACCGCCCGUCACACCAUGGGAGUGGGUUGCAAAAGAAGUAGGUAGCUUAACCUUCGGGAGGGCGCUUACCACUUUGUGAUUCAUGACUGGGGUGAAGUCGUAACAAGGUAAGCGUAGUGCU